AGCGAACGCUGGCGGCAGGCCUAACACAUGCAAGUCGAACGAACCUUUCGGGGUUAGUGGCGGACGGGUGAGUAACACGUGGGAACGUGCCUUUAGGUUCGGAAUAACUCAGGGAAACUUGUGCUAAUACCGAAUGUGCCCUUCGGGGGAAAGAUUUAUCGCCUUUAGAUCGGCCCGCGUCGGAUUAGCUAGUUGGUUGAGGUAAUGGCUCACCAAGGCGACGAUCAGUAGCUGGUCUGAGAGGAUGAUCAGCCACAUUGGGACUGAGACACGGCCCAAACUCCUACGGGAGGCAGCAGUGGGGAAUCUUGCGCAAUGGGCGAAAGCCUGACGCAGCCAUGCCGCGUGAAUGAUGAAGGUCUUAGGAUUGUAAAAUUCUUUCACCGGGGACGAUAAUGACGGUACCCGGAGAAGAAGCCCCGGCUAACUUCGUG
rnacentral:rRNA from 1 species